UGUUUACAAUCUUUGAUUUGGUAAAAAAAAUAGGUAUACCAGUUUGUUUUGGAACACGUCAUAAUCCGAGCAUACAUCGUUGUCGAUUUGCCCUUCUCAACAUGUAUAGCGGACUUUUACCGAAAGGUCUGACCGAUGCAGAAAUUAGUUCAGAUGAUGAAGACGACCAAGGUGUUGCAAAUCAAGAAAUAGCCGCAACUAACGUUCAACGUCCUGCAGUUGGACUUUCGCGUGGUCUUAAGCAAAAUUGUGUUACACUUGGAGACGCAAGUUAUUCUUGUAUCCAGCCCUUCAUAGAAAAUGACCCGUGUUUGGACUCCUUACCCGGGAUUUCCGAGGAGAAUUGGCAAAAAUGUAAAGAGCAACAGAAGAAAACAGAUGAGAUAAACACAAUGAAGCUCCCCCAAAAAAGACCGCAGAGAAAAGGACGAUAUAAGAAAGAUGAAAGAUCAGCAACUAAGAACAUGGAAUCAAACAAUGAAAGCAGAGAACCUCAAGCGGAGCAUGAAAGGCAUUGGGAUGGGCUUACGCAGUACUUUGGCAUCAAUGAUAGAUUUCAACCCCCUGCCUGUAGCAAGCCUGCUCCCAAGUCCAGCCUAGAAAAGAGCAUAGAGAGCGCCAUCGCUGAAGGGGACUUUGGGAAGGCGGAGGAGAUGAGCGACAGACUCGCCACUCGAGAGCUUGCCAGGAACAUGAAGGAUGGGCUUGACAGCAGUCUGGCAGCCAUAGCUCACUCUGUAUCUGUGUUUACCUCAUGCUCAGAACAGUGAAUUGACUGAAGUUUUCAAGAAAUUCUCACAUACAACAAAAUUGAUUUAAGCUGUGCCCGCCCCACAUCAGAAAAUGAGGCUUUCUUCCUCUCUCCUGCGAGGACCCCGGGCGACUGAGAAACAGUGCCGUCAUUGCAUCAUGGUCAGGGUGAGACAAAACGGGAACCGGAGGCACUCAUGAGAAGCCACCCUGACAUGUCAGUUGGAAGAGAGAGAGACUGAUUUACAUCAUCUAAUGGGCCUUGUCUCUUUCAAUAGUUGGCCGUGAAAAUCGCGCAAGCCACCGAUUGCCGUGACUUUGUGCAAAGCAAACAGGAAGUGGAGGCUUCGCGGGCAGCCCAGAAAAGGAAGAAACAAAUCGCUUGGGGGUUUGUCUUUUUUACUUUCCUCCCCACAAUUAUCUCCCUAAUUUACAUUAAAUCGCAGUUUGUUAGCAACAUACAUUUGUUAUGCAUAUUUGGCUAGCUUGCCACCUUCUUUCUUACUUAGUUCAUGCACAGGUAUAAAUACAUGCUAGGGUUUGACUAUACAGAGAAAGUGUGUACUGUAGCUGUCGCUUAACAUUAGACUGGCACUUUUGAACUGUCACAGUGGAUGUCAUGGUAAGAAUGUGUGUAUAAUGUAUUAUGCUAAUGUCUAAGAACAACACACAACUAACUGUUAUUUCAAGCUCUCAAGAACAUGGAAAUAUGUAUAUUUCAUACAGAUUCAUUUUUGUCAUUAUAAUUUCUGUAAUAAGUAAUACAUUUUGCAAAGAAGUUUUGCUAAAUCAGUAUUUUAACAUCGAUUCAGGUUUGAAGCCAAGCAAAGAUGGGAAACCAAAAGCAACAUGGGCUAUAUGUGACUUUACGUCUUCACUGAAGAGCAAGAAAAUGAAGAUUUGUGUCAUUUCUCAGUUAAUUUAAUGACGUUUGUGUUUGAUAAUAUUUUUGUUUAUGCAUAUCAUUUUUGCUUCACGUUAGUACCAUCAUGUUUGUGAAAUUGUCAAGAUACUGUACACAACUAACAAUAAAAAAAAAAACAUCUAAUCUGUAAAAUUUAUGGAAUGUUCAAAUUAAUUCUCUGAGCACUCCAUGGUGGCUGCUUUAUGUGCUGUGUUCCAUUACAUUUCUGUGAUUUUUUUUUUUAGCAUUUCGGGGAUUUUUUCCCUUCAAAUUAAAUCUGGUGU